rnacentral:SRP_RNA from 1 species
GCUGAUAAAGAUAAGCACACCUGUAGUCCCAGUUACUGGAGAGGCUGAGGCAGGAGGAUUGCUUGAGUCCAGGAGUGCUGGGCUGUAGUGUGCUGUGCCUAUUGAGUUUCCACACUAAGUUCAGCAUCAAUAUAGUGACCUCCCAGGAGCAGGGGGAUCACAAGGUUGCCUAAGAUGGGGCAAAUCGGCCCAGGUCAGAAACCCAGCAGGUCAAAGCUCCCGAACUGAUCGGUAAUGGGAUCAUGCCUGUGAAUAGUCACUGCACUCCAGUCUGGGCAGCAUAGCAAGACU